GGGGUGUAUAGCUUAGGUUGUAGAGCAUUGGGCUUUUAAUCUAAUUGUCGCAGGUUCAAGUCCUACUAUCCCCA